rnacentral:rRNA from 1 species
AUUGAACGCUGGCGGCAGGCCUAACACAUGCAAGUCGAGCGGAUGAGAAGAGCUUGCUCUUCGAUUCAGCGGCGGACGGGUGAGUAAUGCCUAGGAAUCUGCCUGGUAGUGGGGGACAACGUCUCGAAAGGGACGCUAAUACCGCAUACGUCCUACGGGAGAAAGCAGGGGACCUUCGGGCCUUGCGCUAUCAGAUGAGCCUAGGUCGGAUUAGCUUGUUGGUGAGGUAAUGGCUCACCAAGGCGACGGUCCGUAACUGGUCUGAGAGGAUGAUCAGUCACACUGGAACUGAGACACGGUCCAGACUCCUACGGGAGGCAGCAGUGGGGAAUAUUGGACAAUGGGCGAAAGCCUGAUCCAGCCAUGCCGCGUGUGUGAAGAAGGUCUUCGGAUUGUAAAGCACUUUAAGUUGGGAGGAAGGGCAGUCAGCGAAUACCUGGUUGUUUUGACGUUACCGGCAGAAUAAGCACCGGCUAACUCUGUGCCAGCCGCCGCGGUAAUAC